GCGCGGUUAGCUCAGCUGGCUAGAGCACCACCUUGACACGGUGGGGGUCACAAGUUCAAGUCUUGUACCGCGCACCA
rnacentral:tRNA from 1 species